rnacentral:rRNA from 1 species
CUGAUGUUAGCGGCGGACGGGUGAGUAACACGUGGGUAACCUACCUAUAAGACUGGGAUAACUCCGGGAAACCGGGGCUAAUACCGGAUAAUAUUUUGAACCGCAUGGUUCAAUAGUGAAAGACGGUUUCGGCUGUCACUUAUAGAUGGACCCGCGCCGUAUUAGCUAGUUGGUAAGGUAACGGCUUACCAAGGCGACGAUACGUAGCCGACCUGAGAGGGUGAUCGGCCACACUGGAACUGAGACACGGUCCAGACUCCUACGGGAGGCAGCAGGU